AUGACGACGGCGAGGAUUGUGGAGGUGAUGUUGCUGCUCAUGUUCUUGACGCUGAUCUUCAGCGUCCACCUCGCUUCGGCUGCGAGGCUGUUGGAGGGUGAAGGAUGGAGGGAGGGCGGGAUCGGGACGGUGACACGGAUGCUCGGCGGCAUCAAGCAGUCAGGGUCUAGCCCCCCGACGCACUGCUGCUAG
rnacentral:rRNA from 1 species